UCUUUAUAUUCCUUGAAUCUUCCUAACUAAAUUCCAUUGCAUCAUUUUCAUAAAUUCCGUUGACUCAAUUCUCUGCAAACUCCGACCAUUCUAUUGUUGCUUUGGGCCAAAACUUUCGCUUUAAUUGUCUCUUCUCUCCUGGCCCAGUUAACUAGCCAGGUCGGCCCACCUCCCAUUUCAGCCCAGUGGCCCAGCGUCCAUUCUCCCUCCUCUGUUUCCCAUCGGGAAGCCGCCGCCGCCGGCAUCAGCAAGCGCCGCCGCCGGCUCUUGCUGCCACCAGCCAGCCGCGUUCGGUUUCCCCGGAACAACCACGCCGCCGUCACCAGCUAUUUUGGUGGGCGCCGCUGUUGCCACCAGAGGAAGCCGGCGACGCCAUCGCCAUCGCCGGUCACCAAACAACCACCGGCCACUGUUUUUGCCACCGCCUAAACCGCCGUCGCCCAAGGCUAGCCACUGCCAGCCGUAGCUCGCCAGUACGCCGCCGCCACCGCCCUCACCCAAAACCAGCACCACCUCAAAGAACUUUGGCCGCCGCCACUGUUGCUUCCCGUGGGCACCGCCAUUUUCGCCGGGCGCCGUCGCCGCUCCUUCCAGAGAAAGCUACCGCCUCCGCCGCCUGUAUAUACAGCAACCAAAGCUCUCUUCCUCUCCGGAGCCGCCGCAAUAGCCUACAAUAAAUGUAGAUAAUAAUACCCCCUCGAAAUUAAAAGAAAUAAAAUGUAUAUAUAAUAAUAUCACCUUAGAAAUUAAGAGUGGAGGAUGUCGAU
rnacentral:lncRNA from 1 species